UAACGCGUGGGAAUCUGCCCUGGAGUGGGGGAUAACCGAGGGAAACCUCGGCUAAUACCGCAUACGGCCUGAGGGCGAAAGAUUUAUCGCUCUAGGAGGGGCCCGCGUCGGAUUAGCUUGUUGGCGGGGUAACGGCCCACCAAGGCUAUGAUCCGUAGCUGGUCUGAGAGGAUGAUCAGCCACACUGGGACUGAGACACGGCCCAGACUCCUACGGGAGGCAGCAGUGGGGAAUAUUGGACAAUGGGCGCAAGCCUGAUCCAGCAAUGCCGCGUGUGUGAUGAAGGCCUUAGGGUUGU
rnacentral:rRNA from 1 species